AACGAACGCUGGCGGCAUGCCUAACACAUGCAAGUCGAACGAGAUCUUCGGGUCUAGUGGCGCACGGGUGCGUAACGCGUGGGAAUCUGCCCUUUGGUUCGGAAUAACAGUUGGAAACGACUGCUAAUACCGGAUGAUGACGAAAGUCCAAAGAUUUAUCGCCAGGAUGAGCCCGCGUAGGAUUAGCUAGUUGGUGUGGUAAAGGCGCACCAAGGCGACGAUCCUUAGCUGGUCUGAGAGGAUGAUCAGCCACACUGGGACUGAGACACGGCCCAGACUCCUACGGGAGGCAGCAGUGGGGAAUAUUGGACAAUGGGCGAAAGCCUGAUCCAGCAAUGCCGCGUGAGUGAUGAAGGCCUCAGGGUUGUAAAGCUCUUUUACCCGGGAUGAUAAUGACAGUACCGGGAGAAUAAGCUCCGGCUAACUCCGUGCCAGCCGCCGCUGUAA
rnacentral:rRNA from 1 species